GGAGAGGUCGCCUAGUGGCCUAGGGCGGCGGUUUGCUAAACCGCUGUACGGUCAAAAGCCGUACCGAGAGUUCAAAUCUCUCCCUCUCCGCCA
rnacentral:tRNA from 1 species